UCCGGUUUAACACCGGCAGUCCCUCUAGAGAUCCGCUUGCGCGGCAACUAAAGGCGAGGGUUGCGCUCGUUGCGGGACUUAACCCAACAUCUCACGACACGAGCUGACGACAGCCAUGCAGCACCUGUACUAGUUGUACCCCGAAGGGCCUACCCUACUUUCAUAGGGAUAAUCCUAGCAUGUCAAGCCCAGGUAAGGUUCUGCGCGUUGCUUCGAAUUGAACCACAUGCUCCACCGCUUGUGUGAGCCCCCGUCAAUUCCUUUGAGUUUUAGCCUUGCGACCGUACUUCCCAGGCGGUCGACUUAGCACUUUUGCUUCGACCAUGACAACGUCAGAGCUGCCACGAUCAAGUCGACAUCGUUUACGGCCAGGACUA
rnacentral:misc_RNA from 1 species